UAAAUGGCGGCUUGGGUUGCGUUAGUCUCUUAGUGGAUAACUUAUUUCAGAGAUUUCAAUAUUUUGCUAGGACUGCUUCAUUGGAGAAAAUGAAGUCGUGCGCCGUUCUUGUGCUUUUGGUGCUGUUUGCCACUGUUGCCAUAGAAGACUCAGCCGGGCAAAGUACACCGUUUGUGACGUGCGACUGCUGUGGUCAUAUUUGUGGAAGCGUUCAUGGGAGAUGCUACUGCGUCGGAAAAUACCCCAACUGCCGCUGUGGUGCAAUCGAUCACCCAAAAUAAAAGAAUAGUCUCCAGUCGAGAGGAAGCAUGACCAGUUGGAAAAUAGGAAACUUGUUACUCAGCUAAAUGUAAAGCUGCUGCAUUUGGAUUUUUUUGUGAAUUUUGUGUUCAACAAUAAG